GCCUGGGUGGCUCAGUCGGUGAAGCACCUGACUCUUGGUUUCGACUCAGGUCAUGAUCUCACAGUGCGUGGGCUCGAGCCCCACACCAGGCU
rnacentral:tRNA from 1 species